AUUGCCUCAGUAACGGCGAGCGAAGCGGCAAGAGCUCAGAUUUGAAAUCGCUCCCAAGGGGCGAGUUGUAAUCUGCAGGGGAUGCUUCGGAACCGUCUCCGGCCUAAGUUCCUUGGAACAGGACGUCGCAGAGGGUGAGAAUCCCGUAUGCGGCCGGGUAGACCAACCGUGUGAAGCUCCUCCGACGAGUCGAGUUGUUUGGGAAUGCAGCUCUAAAUGGGAGGUAAAUUUCUUCUAAAGCUAAAUACCGGCCAGAGACCGAUAGCGCACAAGUAGAGUGAUCGAAAGAUGAAAAGCACUUUGGAAAGAGGGUUAAAAAGUACGUGAAAUUGUUGAAAGGGAAGCGCUUGCGACCAGACUCGACCGUCGUGGAUCAACCCUCCCAGCGGAGGGCUCACUCCUCUUCGGUCGGGCCAGCAUCGGUUCCGGCGGUCGGACAAAGGCUUCGGGAAUGUGGCUCCUCUCGGGGAGUGUUAUAGCCCGUCGCGUAAUACGGCCUGCCGGGACCGAGGACCGCGCUCCGGCAAGGAUGCUGGCGUAAUGGUCGUAAGCGGCCCGUCUUGAAACACGGACCAAGGAGUCGAAAAAUUGUGCGAGUGUUCGGGUGUCAAACCCCUACGCGUAAUGAAAGUGAACGGAGGUCGGAGCCCCUAGGGCGCACGAUCGACCGAUCCUGAUGUCUUCGGAUGGAUUUGAGUAAGAGCACAGUUUUUCGGACCCGAAAGAUGGCGAACUACACCCGAGUAGGCCGAAGCCAGCGGAAACGCUGGUGGAGGGUCGCAGCGGUUCUGACGUGCAAAUCGAUCGUCAAACUUGGGUAUAGGGGGCGAAAGACUAAUCGAGCCAUCUAGUAGCUGGUUCCUGCCGAAGUUUCCCUUAGGAUAGCAGUAACGUUUUCAGUUUUAUGAGGUAAAGCGAAUGAUUAGAGGCCUGGGGGUUGAAACAACCUUCACCUAUUCUCAAACUUUAAAUAUGUAAGAAGCCCUUGUUACUUAGUUGAACGUGGGCACUCGAAUGUACCGUUACUAGUGGGCCAUUUUUGGUAA
rnacentral:rRNA from 1 species